CUCCAAAACCCUAACAUUCACAAAAGCCACAAAUUGAAGGCUUAAAUCAUGUCCAAAUCGAUUUUCAAACAUGAAUAAACGAUUACCAAGUCAAGGGGAUCGUAAGUUUGACGCUUGACAAGCUAGGUGGAGGCUUGGAAAGGAAGCGGGUCAAACGAAGCAAAUAAGAAGGAAAAGCGUACUUCGGAUGCGAGGGGCGAAUAGUAGUUUGGGUAAUUGCGUCGCCAUAAGAAUAUCGGUAAUAAAAGCAAGGUGUCGAAACGGGUCACUAGAUUGACUCGAGCCAGGUACGUAUAAAUACGAUUGUGGUUAAACAUACAUUUUUGGGUCAAAUUAGUAGCAAAUGCCCUUCGUCGUAAAUGAGGGGCUAAAGUUGACUA